UGCUGAACCAGUUCCACAUGCUGGUUUAAGACCACCAAUGCAGGCUGAUGGAUCAAUGCAAUGCAAUGCAAUCAGAAUGUUGGAGGCUGUACUUUAGAAAAUUCAAAUGCUAAUCAUGUCAGUAGCCAAGAAGCAGCAGAAACCACUGGAGAGGUACUUACUGCCUUCCUCUUGCAUCUUUGUUUUUUGUAUCUAGGAUUGUAUUUCUUGUCAUUUUAUUUUGUAUCUCUUCAUUGUGUUGCUAGUUAUCUAUUUUUUCUGUGGAAAGAGCUCUCUUAUUACUACGAUUCUUUUAUACCAUUUUCACUCAAAACUAGCUCAAAUCUAGAUAAAUUUGUAUGAGAUGUUUGUACAUCGUCUAAGAAUUUCAAAGCACUCUAUAUUUUUGACUGAAUUUUGUAGCCAUUGUCUAAAAAAAUGUAUAGUGCCUUAAAAUGAAUCCCCACCUUCUAUUCUUUUGUCAACUCCUUUAUGCAGAUGUAUUUUAAGCAGUAAUUUUUUAUAGAGUUGGCUAGCAAGUUUCUUUUGAUGAAUGCUAGGUUGACAACAAGGACAAGACGCUUUUGGAUUCCAGAGAGAAGCUUGACUACUAUCGAAC
rnacentral:lncRNA from 1 species